CUUUUCCUUCAUUUCAACUGUUCUUCAUUCCUUUCAUUUGAUUAGUUUAAUCAACCAAUGUAUCAGGGUUUGAUAUAAACGAAUCGAAAUUGACAGUUUUAAAGUUUGUAUAUCUCAAGUUAAUCUGGGAAUGAGUGGAUGAAUAAUCAUCACCAAGUCAACCUAGUCUUGAAUUUUCAAGAUCAUUGUGAUUCAUUCUGAAAUUUGUUUCGUCAAGCCUCACAUUUUUCAUGUUGUUUUUGUUCAACUGAAAAGAUAAAUUGCUUUGUUGUUUACUUGUCUCGUUAUUUUUAAAUUGAAUGAGUCACAAAAAUUGUUUAUCAACUCAUUAACAGUUUCGCCUUGACUUGCUUCAAUAUCAUGAUGAUUAUUAAUAUUAUUGUUAAAUUAAAACUAUGCAAUGUCAUUUUUAUAUUGCAUCUGAUUGAGGAAAAAAAGUGAAAUUUGUUUAGUAAAUAAUUUCAAGAUUAUCGAUGCUAAAUGGUUAAUCAUCCAGAAUUGCCCCAGUUCUGCCCAUUGUUUUAUUAUUACUCAUAUGUACGAUUAAUUUGAUUGAAAUGAAAAGGUCAUCAAGGUUAUUAACUAUUGUCACAUUGAUUAGUAAAUUAGGGAAAAAAGUAUUACAAUUAAAGUCUUUACCCUCCGAGUUUAGUCAUUUGUUUAUUGACAUGCAGUCCCCCACAUUUGAAUAUUACCGUUAAAAUAAAGAGACUAGGUUAAGUCAACUGCUAAAAUUACUCACGGAAAUUAUUAUUAAAUUAUUAGGACAUUAAUAUGAUUUUUAUUUUAAAUUUGUGUCUUUCAAUAAUCAUAAUUAUUAAUUUAUGUAUGUUAAUAUCAACCGGAAACAUCAUUUGUUUUGUUGAUUAAAGAGGAGGCUCCUAAAAAGAGAGGGAACCUCUUUUGGUUUCUCAUCUCUCACCAUUUUCAAUUCAAUGGUUCAACCUAAUAUAGAGUUUGUUAAUUGUCAACAAAUGAUGUUUGAUUACCGAUAUCACACGUUAGAUGGAGGAAGAGAAAUAGAGAGUUUUGUUUUCAAACCGACCUCAAUUGAGACUUAUUGAUGAUUAGUGAUAACUACCUCUUAAACACAUAAUUAUUAAUUAACAAAGUGACAAGUUGAUUACUUCAGAUUACCAGUUUCAAUCAAAUAAUGAAAUUAAUGUAACAAGUGGAGACAAAGCAGCUUCAACUUAACCGCAAAGAUUAUAAUGUCAUAGUUACCAGUAAAUUUUUAAAUAAAAGGCUUCAACUUAUUAUUA